AACGCAGCGAAGGGCGAUAAGUAAUGUGAAUUGCAGAAUUCAGUGAAUCAUCGAAUCUUUGAACGCACAUUGCGCCCCGUGGUAUUCCGCGGGGCAUGCCUGUUCGAGCGUCAUUUAAACCAAUCCAGCUUGCUGGGUCUUGGGCCUCGCCUCUGGGCGGGCCUUAAAGUCAGUGGCGGCGCCACCCGGCUCUAAGCGUAGUAAUUCUUCUCGCUACAGAGCCCCGGGCGGAGGCUUGCCAGGCAACCCCUAAUCUUCAAAGGUUGACCUCGGAUCAGGUAGGGAUACCCGCUGAACUUAA
rnacentral:rRNA from 1 species